AAACCUGAGAAACCCGAAAGUUCGAAUGAGAAGAUUCAGUAUCAUACCAUUUGGUCGACCAUUACUUUAUAAUCAUGUGAUAAUUUUUAAUAUCUUGUAUAUUAUAAUUACACUAUAUUGUUUUGAGAUUUGGCUAUGGAGAUAUGCACUUCUUCUCUAGUAGGACGUUGCAACCCAUUGGAUGUUAAUCUAAGGUCCCUUAUGGUAGCCUAUUUUAUAUAUAUUUCGGUAUAUGUGAUAUAGACCUUAGGUGUUUUGCCUGAUUAACUUGUUCGAUGGUAUAUCUUAAUAAUAUGGGGUCGCCUAUAUGGCAUUUAACUUUUUUUCAAGUGUGUAUGGAUUAAAUUUUGGCUAUCAGACCUAGUCUGGUACCGAAACCAUUACCACUGUUUGAAAAUUAUGUUGUAAUUAAAUUGAUCCACUUUAUAUAUAGGUUAGCAACGCUUUUGCUUUGGGUACUUUCAGGAC
rnacentral:rRNA from 1 species